AACAGCGCCCGCGCCUGCUUCGCGUCACCUCAUUCCAAAAUAAUUUCGAAUUGUUUCGAACGCGCGCUUCGCUCACAGGCCGGAAACGAUUCUUAUCUUUUUUUUUAAUAAUUAAAAAUGAAAGUGACGUUGUAAAAUAAAAUGAUACUAUUUUUAAUUCAUAGUGAAAAUACUAUUGUGUGAUUUUUUAAUUAUUGAAUGAAAAAAUAGUCUGUGAUUUUAUGUGACAGUGUGGAAUAGGAAGUUUCGUGUUACGCAAGUUGAAUAUUCGUUGGCAAGCUUUUAAGGAUUUCCGAAAAAAAUGGCGGGUGUGAACUUGAGACUAGUGUUCGCGGUGAUCUCGUCAGCAUGCUGGUCGUCUUUCCAACACGGGUACAACACUGGAGUGCUCAAUGCGCCGCAGGAGGUAAUGUCAGAUUGGCUCCAAUUGGACGUCCUGAACGGCACGGACACAACAAAGAAAUCCACAGAAGAUCCUAAAGUAACGUCCGUCUGGGCGGUCGCCGUGUCCAUAUACUGCGUGGGGGGUAUGAUAGGGGGCGUGGUCACAGGCUACGUAGCAGACAGAUUCGGCAGAAAAGGCGGGCUUUUAAUAAACAACGCACUGGUGUUCGUGGCCGCGGUGCUGCAAGGGUUCUCCAAAGCGGCUAAUUCGGCUGUUAUGCUCAUCCUAGGAAGGUUAGUCAUCGGUAUAAAUAGUGGUUUGGCAGCUGGUAUCGCGCCGAUGUACUUAGCCGAAAUAUCACCUGUUUCUCUCAGAGGCUCGAUCGGCACAGUGUACCAGCUAGUGAUUACUAGCACUAUCCUGCUCUCGCAAGUGCUCGGUCUCUCUUCUAUCCUCGGCACGGCGGAGGGCUGGCCGUACUUGCUGUCGCUGGUAGCCCUCCCCGCUGCUAUACAAUAUGCCACGUUGCCGCUCUGUCCCGAGUCGCCAAAGUUCUUGCUACUGAACAGAGGGAAGGAAUUGCAUGCUCAAAGAGCUCUAAAUUGGCUACGUGGAGCGGUGGCUGUCCACGGUGAAAUGGAGGAGAUGCAUCAGGAGGCGGAGAAGAACAAAGUGACGAAGAAGGUGACCCUCCGUGAGCUGUUCAGCAACAGAUCGCUCCGUCAGCCGCUGCUCAUAGCCCUCAUGGUGAUGAUAGCCCAGCAGCUGUCAGGGAUCAACGUCGUCAUCUUCUUCUCCACCGACAUCUUCGUUAAGGCUGGCAUCAGCAGGAUUAACUCACAGUAUGCUACUUUAGGUAUGGGCGCAAUGAACGUGGUGAUGACGAUAGUCAGCCUCAUGUUGGUGGAGUGUGCCGGACGCAAGACUCUGCUUCUUACUGGCUUCAUUGGCAUGUUCAUCUCCACCGUAGCGCUGUUCGUCUCCAACAUCUAUUCGGACGUGUCGUGGGUUCCGUACCUGUGUAUCGUGGUGGUGAUCGUGUUCGUGAUGUCGUUCGCCAUCGGCCCCGGCUCCAUACCCUGGUUCUUGGUCACUGAGUUGUUCAACCAGUCGGCGCGGCCGGCCGCCGCUUCAGUCGCUGUCACUGUCAACUGGACCGCCAACUUCAUUGUUGGCCUUAGCUUCCUUCCGCUUACGUUGGCGCUCAACCACUACACGUAUUUGAUUUUCGCCGCGCUACAAGCUCUGUUCAUUGUAUUCAUAUUCUUCAAAGUGCCUGAAACUAAAAACAAAACAGUCGAGGAAAUUUCCGCCAUGUUUAGACAACAGUUAUAAUUUUUUCGGGCCCAAGUGUUGCAAGGUACUUAGAUCUUAGUAUUGAAAUGACUUUCUAGAUACUUAUUGACUAAAUAUAAAUUGCUCGUAUAUGUAGGUACCGUAUCAUCAAACCGUAAGUCAUGCAAUGUAUUAGGUUUUACAGUGUAAUAAUGUGUAAUAACCGACCAGCCGGCCACGUGUACGAUAACAAUCAUAACUUGAUGUAUGUGCCCCCACCAAGAACGAAUAGCUAGAUUUUCUUAAGAGGGGGAAGGGGCAGGCAGAAGACAAACGCGGAAUGUGCUACAAAAAGUAAAUGAUUUAUUAAAAAAAGAUCUUCAACAAUCUCUAUAAUUCCUUGCGUUGCAGGGCUCUGUUUGCUAAGUUAGGAGAGCAAAAAAUUUGUCAUUUUAUGCCAUAGACUUCUUUGGAUCUACUCUAUGCUGUCAUCCAAAUCUGCUACAAAAAAAUUGGCUGGAGUUAAACCAUCGUAUAUAAACAAUUGUAAUUUUAAUUAAUUUGACAAGAUUGGGACGAACAAAUACAAACUAAAUGUUUUUUUCUUACAAGUCUCAUUAAUGUAAACAAUCUUAGGACUGUGUUUUUUUAUGAUUUUACAGAAACAUUUCAAUAGAUUUUUUAGGAUAUUAAGAACUACUUUUAAAGUGUUUUCGUUUAGAAUGUAAGGUUUGAAAUAAUAUAUGAAUUAUUUUCAACAAAAUUUAAUUAUAAAUUACUUACUGUGAAGAUUGUUUGCAUGUUUGGACUGAAAAGAAAUACGGAACCCUAAAAACGGAUUUAUAGGUAUGAAUGUCGAAUCAAAAAUAAUUCAGUUGUUUGAUUUUAAUAAGCGUUGCCGUAUUAUCGAUAGUUAUUUUGAAGCAAUACUAUUGAUAAAGAACAAUACUAGCGAUGGUAUCGAAACAUGAUGAUGUAGUAGGCUAUCGAUAGUUUUGCACAAUCGAUAGUGACAAGUAGACGAUAGUCUGAUCGCAAUCAAGGUCCGUUGCUAUUUCUUUUUCACAAACUAUGUAUACACAACACUAGUUUUAACAUUCGGUUGUAUUGUAUGUCAUUAUUAUAUUACUGAAUACUCUGACAGUGAUCUUAAUAAUUCCUAUGAUAACUUAGGUCUAGGUAUUUAUUGCUAAUAGAGUUUAAUUUCAUGAAGAAAUCUCGAAAUAUUGCUUGUUCUCAUAAUUUAUGUUCAUUGUAGAACUCUUUGAUUCUACCCUACCGUAUAUGUUUUGUCACUGUCACCGUCACUGCUUGACAUUGACAGAAAGACAAAACACACGCAUGGAUAUAAUAAGUACUUGAGUACUUACUAAUUCCAUGAACACACGUUAGCGCAUAGAUUUAGAAAGGAGCCCGCACCCGGGGCUUGUUCGAUGGUUUAUGACAUAUUUCUCGACUUCCGAGUGCAUUGAAAAACAACGUCAAACGCUACACACAUUAUGAUAAUGCAUUGAUGACAUUACAUGCUCGGCCUUAUUGUAGCGCUCGGUUUUGUCAUGCGCGAAAAUUAUGCGUCGUGUGUUCUAUAUAAUAAUCAACAUUCAGUUGUUAUUCAGUCCUAAAAAAGAAUUCAUAAUAUAUUGAAUGUACUUAAUUAAAAACUUUAACAAGCAAUAAUUGCUGACAAGGUCAUUGUAAAAAAAUGUUUACUUUAGGUAAAAUAUAUACAAGAUAUAUUUAGAUUCAUUAUGAUAAUUCAUAGACUGUAACAAUGCCAACUGUAUCAUUGUAUGAAGAUUUAAAGUUGAUAUUAAAUUUUUAAACUACCUUUAUUAAGAAUUUAUCACCAUAAACGUAACAUUUAAUGUAGCUGUCGAACAAACAUUUCUUUGCGAACACUUUAGCACGUUGUGACGUCACUUGUUCGUGUCAUUUAGUAUGGAGCAUGAAAUUAAAGAGCCUUUGGAAGUCCUAAAAUGUGUAAUUUUACUUUUGUCAUCUUUGAAAGCAUUGUCAUUAUCAUAGUAUUUUUUCACUGGUGUUUCUAAUAUGGCCUUCGAAUAGUUCCGAAUCAAAAUAAAAAAUUAUCAACUAGCCUAUUCAUAAGAAAUCCAAAAUGAUCUUUUCUGUAAAUAUUAAUUAUAUUUUGGUGUAUACAUUUAUGAACUUGCUUUCAGUAGUAGUAAGAAUCAAGUUGUUAAACUUUUUUUAUAAUAAAGAAAUGAAACAAACAUUUUUC